GGGGCUGAUUCUGGAUUCGACGGGAUUAAUGAUGCCCAAGGUGCACGUCGAGGUGCGGUAGGCCUCGUAAACAAACCGCAAAACAAUAGUCGCAAACGACGAACAAUACGCUUUAGCAGCUUAAUAACCUGCUCAUCGCCUUCGCUCCCCAGCUUUCGCUCGUAAGACGGGGAUCAAGCGGAGUCAAACCCAAACGAGAUCGUGUGGAAGCCGCUGUUUGAGGAUCGAAGCACUAAAUUGAAUCAAACUAGCCUAAGUUUAGCGUGUCUGUCCGCAUGCUUAGGUGAAAUUAAAGACUGACUAAACGUGUAGUACUGAAGGUUGAGUGAUUUCGGACGGGGGUUCAACUCCCCCCAGCUCCACCA
rnacentral:tmRNA from 1 species